UGGAAGGCUGCAGGAGCGCUACCGGUGCCAGAACUGCCAGAGCGGGAGGAGCGCGGCGCGGGCCAGCUGGGACUGCUGGACAGCGGGGUCCAGGCUAGAGGGGAGCGGUCCACCUCCUAACAAAUUAUUGGAAGGAAUAUGAGAAAAAAAUGCAGAGUCUCACCAUGUUGCUCAG